rnacentral:rRNA from 1 species
UACGGAGGGUGCAAGCGUUAAUCGGAAUUACUGGGCGUAAAGCGUGCGCAGGCGGUUUGUUAAGUCCGUUGUGAAAGCCCCGAGCUCAACUUGGGAAUUGCAGUGGAUACUGGCAGGCUAGAGUACGGUAGAGGAAGGUGGAAUUCCCGGUGUAGCAGUGAAAUGCGUAGAUAUCGGGAGGAACACCAGUGGCGAAGGCGGCCUUCUGGACCAGUACUGACGCUCAUGCACGAAAGCGUGGGGAGCAAACAGG